UACCAUGCAGUCGAGCGGUAGCACAGAGAGCUUGCUCUCGGGUGACGAGCGGCGGACGGGUGAGUAAUGUCUGGGAAACUGCCUGAUGGAGGGGGAUAACUACUGGAAACGGUAGCUAAUACCGCAUAACGUCGCAAGACCAAAGAGGGGGACCUUCGGGCCUCUUGCCAUCAGAUGUGCCCAGAUGGGAUUAGCUAGUAGGUGGGGUAACGGCUCACCUAGGCGACGAUCCCUAGCUGGUCUGAGAGGAUGACCAGCCACACUGGAACUGAGACACGGUCCAGACUCCUACGGGAGGCAGCAGUGGGGAAUAUUGCACAAUGGGCGCAAGCCUGAUGCAGCCAUGCCGCGUGUAUGAAGAAGGCCUUCGGGUUGUAAAGUACUUUCAGCGGGGAGGAAGGCGAUAAGGUUAAUAACCUUGUCGAUUGACGUUACCCGCAGAAGAAGCACCGGCUAACUCCGUGCCAGCAGCCGCGGUAAUACGGAGGGUGCAAGCGUUAAUCGGAAUUACUGGGCGUAAAGCGCACGCAGGCGGUCUGUCAAGUCGGAUGUGAAAUCCCCGGGCUCAACCUGGGAACUGCAUUCGAAACUGGCAGGCUAGAGUCUUGUAGAGGGGGGUAGAAUUCCACGUGUAGCGGUGAAAUGCGUAGAGAUCUGGAGGAAUACCGGUGGCGAGGCGGCCCCCUGGACAAAGACUGACGCUCAGUGCGAAAGCGUGGGAGCAAACAGGAUUAGAUACCCUGGUAGUCCACGCCGUAAACGAUGUCGAUUUGGAGGUUGUGCCCUUGAGGCGUGGCUUCCGGAGCUAACGCGUUAAAUCGACCGCCUGGGGGAGUACGGCCGCAAGGUUAAACUCAAUGAAUUGACUGGGGCCCGCACAAGCGUGAAGCAUGUGGUUUAAUU
rnacentral:rRNA from 1 species